GGAGUAUUUGUAUUUAGCCUGCAGGCAUCACAUUCAGCAGGGGGUCAUUGUCGCAUUUCUAGGCGCUGUUACAUUAUCGAACAUGAGAGAAAUAUGCAACGACUUCAACUUGCUAUCAUUUUACGUUUGAAUUUAGUGUCAAAUAUGAGACUCCUUUCAGUAAGCUGGAGCUAACUUUCCACAUUCAUUCGAAAACAAUAUUUUGUGCCGAUUACAUCGCUAGAAUAAUUUUAACAUUACAAUUUUGUGCAAUUAUAUUUUCGUUACCUUUGCACUUUUAACGGGCUUUUCUUUUAUUAAUUUAUUUUAUCAAGUACCAACAAUUCACGCAUAUAUAAUACAGUCAAUGGAUAAUAGUAGUAGUAAAUCGCUUCAAUCAACAUUUAAAAUUUUAACCAACAUAACGUGUUCCUAAAAAUUAGCAACGGUAAGCAGCGAAUUUAGAAUGAUUCAAAAAUGAAAUGAUUCCAAACUACCUGGCCUGCGAUCAAAGCCCAAACUACUAUUUCCAAACUUGAGAAUGGACAGCUAUCCCAUAAAAACAUGAUGAAGCAAAUGUCCGUUUGGUGGCGUGCCUGGCGAUGGAGGAGUCGCGGCGGGAGCGGCCGGAUGCCGCGCAGGAUGCAUGCCCGAUGCAUAAUCUUCAUUAUUCCAAGACUAUGUGGGCAAGGCUCUGGCCGAGCUACCUGGCGUCAGACCACUGACGCAGACCACAAUAUCGAAAUUGGAGAACGUAGAGCUGAUCAAACUGAGGCCCAUUCUGCUGACGUGGCUGGAGAAGGAGGAGGCACGGCGGGCGCAGGAUUUUCUAAAAUUUGAAAUAUUAUAAACUGUUCUUGUUAUAUUAAUUUGAAAUAAUGUUUGUCUAUAUUUUGAACGUCUUUAGCUAAAGUUUUAGUAGUGACCCCACAGAAAUCCACACUUACUUACUGUUAUCAAAUUUAAAUUUGCGACGCAACCUGCAGCUUCUCCUUUGCUUUUGUGAUGUUUCUUUUGGGUUUGAGGACA